AGGCAGGGUAGUUUAAUAUAGAACAGUAAAUUGCAAAUUUGAAAGUACAUGCAUUGUUGUUUCUGUCUU